rnacentral:misc_RNA from 1 species
GUUUUAAAUACGUUUCCUAAUAAAUUUGUCUUCCCUCACUCUUUCUUGCCCUUCGUGGCUUAGUUUUGAAUAAAGCUUAGUUUCCUUGCGUGAUAGGUAGUUUUGAAUUUUCUAGCAAAUUUUGUUGCUUUUCACCUCAUCUUCAAGGGCGCAUGCCUAUGCCUUUAAGCCUAGGCUCCAAGAUCCCUUUAUGCCUUGCACCUUUACUAAUAGGAUAAUCAUCAGACAUUUAUUCCUUUGUCUUUGUUUGAAAACGUUGCUUAUUUUAUAUUUCCAC